AUGGCCAUAUCAUGUUGAAACACUGGUUCCUGUAUGGUCACUGAAGUUAAGCAAUGUUGAACCUGGUCAGUACUGAGAUGGGUGACCUCUUGGAAAUACCAGGUGG